UAAUUCAACAAACUUUAAGAGGGAGGCACACCAUUUUUGCUGAUAGACAGAUAUAAAGCAACAUAGGGCAAUGCCAACAAACUUUCAAGUUGCUUACGACUUGGAGCAAAACAAGCAAUGAAAUUAUGAAAGUGAUACCAUUUUCGCUUAUAUACAGAUAUAAUUAGUUGCUAUGGAGGUCAUCAUCCGCGGGGGAUAUUUUGAAGGUACAGAACAUGAUACCAAUUAAUUUUUGGGUGGUGCUUUUGGUUGAUUAUCAGCGAGCUUAUGGCCAGAAUAGCAACAGAGCGCAAAGCUUCAUACUCAGAGCGCAAAGCAGCAAAAUCAGGGCGUUUAGUGUCAAAGGCAUGAUCAAAAGCAGCAUAAUCAGGGUGCUGAGGGUGCUGAGAAUAUGCAAGAACGGAAGAAUAAACAACAAAUAAAGCAAAAUAAAAAUAACAAUAACAACAAGUCAGGGAUAAUAUCAUUCAUAAUUGACAUAACACAAUAGUAAUAGAGUUAGAGUUCACAAAUUAUUUAACAAGUAUCAUCCUGGGGGCUAUAUUAAUUUUUGGGUGGUGGUUUUGGUUGAUUAUCAUCGAGCUUACGGUCAAGACCAGAGCGCAAAGCAGCAUACUCAGAGCGCAAAGCAUCAUACUCGGAGCGCAAAGCAGCAAAAUCAGGGCGUUUAGUGUCAGAGGCAUGAUCAAAAGCAGCAUAAUCAGGGUGCUUACGGUCAAGACGAGAGCGCAAAGCAGCAUUGUCUUGAGAUUUUUGACGAGCUUCUAAGCAGCCAAGAAUCACGCCGACUAUACCUCCAUACAUCACAGCGUCCAUCAUUAGAUCCGCUCUCUUGUUUUCCGAUCUUAACUGAUACAUGCAAACAAAUGGGUGUUUUCAAUUUUUAAAUCUAUGUUUAUACUUAUAAAUUUGUAUAUACACAAACUCUGGAUAUUGGCCCCAUUCUUGCUUCUCCUUCUCCCCUUAUCUCUCUCGUAUCUGUUAAAUCUCUCUCUCUCUCUCGUCUUUAUCUUUCCGUCUCUCCAAACACAGCCGAUCUAAACUUAAAUGUAUUACCCGCGAGUAGUUCGUUAUUUAUUAUUUAUAAUUAUAAUUUAAAUUUUAACAUUAUUUUAAAAGUAUUUUAAUAGGGUUAAAUCUCAAAGUGCUCACUGAAGUGAAGGGCUGGCAUCAAAUUAGUCAUCAAACUUAACGGGGUAUCGUUUAAAUCACUAAAGUCAAAAUAAAUAUCAAAUGAAUACCUCAAAAAUAUGCCCGAGAACUAAAAAUUAAUUUUGUGAAGUUAUAUACAUUUUUCUUGAAUGCUACUAUAAUCAAAUGAAAAGUUAUGAAUUCUAGUAUCAUAGAUAAUAUAGUGAGAUUUUUAAAAUUUUAUCUACUAAUUAUUUUUAUUUAAAUAAAAU
rnacentral:lncRNA from 1 species